UCUCCGCAUUUACCGUAAUGCUGAGAAUACUCGCACAGGUGAAAUUUACGUGCGGCUGAUUUGACCACGGAGAUCGAAGUCCUCAGCGGCUGGCUUGACCGCAGUCGCUGACUGCACAGUGAUCAUCACACAUCGGUGAAGACGAUUUUCAGGUGUUAGCAAGAGCAGCUGACAUCAAAAGAACACUACUGCUUCCUGACUCUCCGAGACUAAUUGUCUUAGGUGAAGUGCUCACAGCAACUCAAUGGAUGCUGAGCAUCGAGGGUCAAGUGGUUGUGCCUCCACAUCCCAACUUCGUGGCUGGAAUGGCAGCAUUCUUUUCAAGCUAUUACAACUUGAAUCUGGUGUACAAGGAGCAAGCAGUCGGGAAAUCUCCAACCAGAGUACCUGCUGCCUGACGCUAUGUUGAUGCAAUUAUAUUACUACUGAUGUUUCAUUGGACUCAACCUCAUCAGUGGCACCAAGACGACAAAGCUGGUCAGCCAAGGAAGUGGGAAGAUGCAUGAGAAGAAGAACAGCUCAGUCAAUCCUCACGUCUCCUCUCUCCUCCGGCGAUUAAUGGACUUUGAAUGGCUUUGAGCAUAAGUCAUAUGCAAAAGAUGAGGAUUCUUGUCUUCCCCGCUAUAUGAGUGGACAUUGUUCUUAAAGGGAAAUUUCUCUAUCUAUCCGAGUUAGGGAUAUAGUGUGAAUAACGGAUUUAGCCGGCGCAGCUGCAAAAUCUGUUGUUCUUCCGGCACCAGCCCCAGAGAUAUGGAGAACAUCAGCAACAACAGCAGGCGUUUUUCAGACUAUAUCCCUAACUUGGAUAGAUAGAGUUAAAGGGAUAGUUCAGGUUUUUUGAAGUGGGGUCAUAUGAAGUACUUAUCUAUAGUCGGUGUGUUAGCUACAUUAGCUGCUGCUCAGCGAAUUUUAACCACCUAAAACAAUCUAUAUCAGUUCUAGUGUACGUUGUAUAGAGAAAAUUCACACCGCUUUACAUCUCCGUCAGACGGCCCUUUCCUUUGGUACUACAUUUCUCAACCGUAUAACUCACGUAUUCCUACGCAUACGGCGUAAUACAGUGCGGCCGCAGCGGGCAAAGUUGUGCUUAUGCGAAGGAAUACGUGAGUUAUACGGUAUAAGGGCCGUCUGACAGCGAUGUAAAGCGGUGUGAAUUUUCUCUAUGUAACAUACACUUGGAACUGAUAUAGAUUUUAGGUGGGUCUUGUUUUAGGUGGUUAAAAUUCGCUUUGCAUCUGGAUUCCGUUCACUGCAGUGCAAAGCUGACCUAUUCGCUAUCUGGUGGACAGUUAGAUGAGAAGAUCGAUACCAUGUCCAUUAAAGGCACAUAACGCACAGUAAAAAGGUUAAAAAGUGAGAUUUAAAGGUGCUAGUUGGCAGAUUUUGUUACUUUUGGACCAAGCCAGGCUAGCUGUUUCCCCAUUUCCAGUCUGUGCUUAAUUAGGCUAACCAGUUUCUGUCUGAAGCCUUUUAUUUAACAGGCAGAUAUGAUUUAUGGGGAUUCGAAUUGAGUUCUGAAGGCAUGUUGUAAAACUAUUGAGUUUUAAUAAAAGAUGUUUUGUUGCAGCUCAGACUUUUAUUUAACAGGUGAAGAAAAUCUAAUGUUAAUGAAUUUUGGAGUAACAGCAAGCCUGGUCUCAUUCAAUAUGCAUAUUUUGCAAAGCUGCUAAUGUAAGAAACAAAGAUUAACUGUAAAAACAUUCUACAACAACAUAUUGUAUUGUGAAGUAUUAACAGCUAUUUACUGGCAAUUUUAGUUGCCAGGUAACCUCUGUAAUUUGAAUAGAAUACAAGAUAAUGUUGUAAACUAGAUUAAAAUUAAUAGUUGAAAAAAAAACUACAACAAAUUGCUGUAAUUUAUAUACAAAAACCUGUAAAAGUUAUCCUGUAAUAUACUGUAAUCCUUUUUACAGUAAUUAACAGCAAUUUUACAAUACUUUACUGGCAACUUUUUUUGCCAGGUAUUUACUGUAAAUUCUACAGUCAAUUUGUUACAGUGUAAUAUUUCAGGAAUAAAUGCUUUGGCCAAAUUACCUAAGAA